GUACCUGCAUUAUAAAAGUAAACUGGUGUUGAUGUCAUGUUUAGUCUGGUAAAUUAUUAUAUUAAAAAUAAGUUUACAAACUUUCUGAGAUGUGUCAGACAAGCUAGUAGGGGCUAAUUUACAGUUAGCUAACCUUAAGGUCUUUUAAAAACCGGUUAACGUGCACCGGCCUGCCCACGGGCCGUAGGGGCGUGUCUACGUGUUUAUGUAAUUUGUUUUACAUCAAAUAUUCAAUCAACAAUCAUAAACUUUGCAUUAUUUGAAAGCUAAAACACUCAACAUUCAUGUUCUGAGCUUGUUUUUGCAAUCAAUACACUGGAGUGAAAGGGUUAAAUGAAAUGCAGACAGACCGCAUAAUAAUAAAAAUGUCGCUACUCACAUAUAUUGCCAUAUGGUUCUGAUCAUUUCUGACAAAUCCGAAAACCUUCAGCGUGCAUUGCAACGUAAAGGUCCAAUCUUGUAAAUGCAUCCCAAAUUUUAAUCCAAAACAACGAAAAUAGUGUAAAAUCCUGCAAUAUCCUCCUUUGUUUACAUGCGCGCUUGCGCUAAGUAUGAUCGAUCGUGUUUAUUUUCUAUCAAAUAUCGAUUUUUAUCAGUGAAAACGAAUCUCUUCCUGCUUCCUUAGACUGUUCCGAUGAAUGUUCCGCCUUAUUUGUCUGUUUUGUCCAAUCAGAUAAGGUUUUACAACUGAAAAAGUGCUGAAAGCCCACAUUGGGUAAGCCAGGGGUCCUUUAACUCACCUGCGCUUUGACUGGAUGAAGCCCAAAUGAAAGCAGCCAUUGCCAAUCCAGCAAAGUUUUGAUUGAUGGGGGUAGUAACCAAUCAUGAAACGAUUACAAGGUCACGUCAGUAUUAUGUCCUUCUGCGCAAAUCUGGGCUUUCCUAUGCAAAACCAAACAUGCGUGCGCACCCCCACAUAUGGUUGUUUAUAGCAUUAGCCGAUGCUAGCCUCUUACGGAGCCGCUGAAACCUCUCCAAUGGAUAGUUAUACACAUCUCCAUUGUCGAUCGUCGACUUCAGAUGACUUUUUGUCUUGAGAUGGUUUUGGAGAAGGUGAUAAGGUGCACGAUCGACGUGCAAAAAUACCAGACUGUAUACAAAUGAUUCGCGUCCCGUCGCACAGUUCCACCGGACCGCUGUUCUGCCAAACACCUGAGCUGCGCUCCUAAUAAAGGUUUCAGCUGACACAGAGGAGGACUGGAAUCUGGAGUCCAUUCACGAGCGGCCACAUUCAAAAUAACAAUUAACUUGAGAGUAUCGGACACACCGCCGCCAUUAAAGUUUUUUCCCCCGCAUAUAACGUUAAGUUACCUGCUGACGCAUCAGAGUGGAAGACCGCAGGUUACAUCGUCUUUGCUUAGGAAUUGAUAGAGAGCUGCGCAUAUCGGACACAUCGCCGCCAUUAACGGUUUCCCCCCACAUAUUACCCACUGACUCAUCAGAGACUGCAGGUUACACCAUCUUUGCUUAGGAAUUGAUAGAAGAGCUGCGCAUAUCGGACACACCGCUGCCAUUAACGUUUUUUUGCCCGCAUAUAACGUUACCUGCUGACGCAUCACAGUACGUUGCACACUCGUGAGGGAUGGAUUCAAGAAAAACACUCCUCUCUGGGGCUGCCAUGAGAUGGAGAGCGCGUAGAGAUGUUCAGAAACGGCUUCAACAUAUUAGGGAUAUGCACAGUGAAAGUUUUGCUUCUCAAUGUUGUAGUGGGGAAAAUGUAGUGGAAGGACAUCCUGGAUGUAGGGAAAGACUAGCAGAGACAGUCUUGGAGAAUAUGCAGGGUGACAUGGAAGAGAGAGAGGAAAUUGGAAAUGAACAGAUGAUAGAGGAGGAGAUUGGAGAGGAGGAAACCUCAAAUGAGCAGUCCUUUAGGAUGGAUCAGUCUGGAUCUGAGGAGGAGUCUAACUCAGACCAAGAUUCUGAUGAAUCAGAGCAGACCUGUAACUUUGGUGAUAGUCUACGCAACUGGGCAUUAACCUUUGGAGUUUCCCUGGUGGCUCUUACAGCUCUUCUUGGCCUGCUGAGACUCUAUCACCCUGACCUGCCAAAGGAUGCCAGAACCCUCCUUAAGACAACAACCACAUAUAGCAUAGAAAGAAAAUGUGAAGGGCUGUAUUAUUAUAUUGGCAUCCUGUCCUCCUUUAAGCAGAAGCUACAACAGGCAUUUGAGUCAUUUGCAGAUGGCUGCACACUAAAACUCCAAAUCAAUAUAGACGGAUUGCCCUUAUUCAAGAGUAGUGGGAUUCAAGUGUGGCCAAUCUUAGGAUGUUUACUUAGUUUUCCAAUUAAAGAACCUGUUGUGAUUGCAUUGUUCUGUGGACCACAUAAACCAAAGACAGCUGAGGUCUUUUUGGAAGAUUUUGUUUCUGAGUUGAAAGAGUUGGAGAGCGGUAUUGACUUCAGGGGCAAAAAGAUUUUUGUUAAGUUAGAUUCUGUCAUAUGUGAUACGCCUGCCCGAGCUUUUAUAAAAAACAUUAAGAGUCACAAUGGAUAUUUUGGAUGUGAUAAAUGUGGCCAGAAAGGAGAGUAUCUGUCUGGCAGAAUGACCUUUCCCUUAGUCUCUUUCCCACUCAGGACAGAUGAAUCCUUUGCCCAAAAACAUAAUGAAGAACAUCACCUGGGCCCUAACCCUUUCCAGGGGUUGAAUGUAGGGAUGGUAUCUCAGUUUCCAGGUGAUUAUAUGCAUUCUGUUUGUUUAGGUGUCGUUAGGAAGCUUCUGAACAUUUGGCUUAGAGGAGCUCUCAGAUUCCGUUUACCUGCUUCGAUUGUUGACCGGAUGUCUGACAGUUUAACAGGCUUGCGCAACUACAUUCCUUUGGAAUUUGCAAGAAAACCCAGAACCUUGAGGGACAUUGACAGGUGGAAGGCAACAGAAUUAAGGAUGUUUUUGUUGUACAUCGGACCUGUCAUUCUGCCUUCAUACUUGGACACAAAUAUUUACAAAAAUUUUAUGCUGCUGUUUUCCAGCAUUGCCAUUUUAGUCAGCCCAACCUUGUCCUUGAUUCACUGGCAGUAUGCUGAAAGAUUGCUCCAUAUGUUUGUGACACAUUUUGGCGAAAUAUAUGGCAAGGAGGCACUUGUGUACAAUGUGCAUUCACUAGUACACUUAGCCCAAGAUGUGAGACAGCAUGGUUGUCUUGACAAUAUUUCAGCUUUUCCGUAUGAGAACCACUUGCAGAAACUCAAGAAACUUGUCAGAAAACCCCAACGCCCCCUUGCCCAAAUGGUACGUCGAUUGUCUGAGCAAAAUCAACAGAAUCAAAUCAUUGACAAAACACUGGUCUCUUUGAAAAAGCCACAUUUUGUUGGACCGGUUCCAAAUGAGCUUGCCUCUAGAAAGGUUAAAGGGCAGUACAGCCAAAUGGUUUCUAACAAGUGGACUAUCAAAGUCUCAACAGGAAACAAUAUAUUUGCCAUUGCUGGUGAUAUUUGUCAGAUUGACAAUAUUGUUGAGUGUCAUGAUGGGAUCUACUUGGUUUAUAGAAGGUUUUCUGAUAAGUCCAUCUUCUUUACCUAUCCAUUCAGUUCAGACUUUCUGAAUAUCUACAGUGUCUCUCAAUUAUCAGAACAAUACAUGUAUGCCAACAUUUUUGCAGUUGCAUAUAAAUGUGUAUUACUCCCCCAUCGAAGAGGUUUUGUAUCCAUACCAAUUCUACAUUCUGUGAAACAAUAAAGUAGUUGGCUUGAAUUAUUUAGUAGGAUUAGUUGUUUGAUCAGUUGUUGUUUUAAAUUUUUUUGGUUGGAUGUUACUACAGCUGAUAGUCUGAUCUUAGUAGUUGUUAGAUUUGAGUUUUAAGCAUCUUCAUCUACAUUACGUCAAUUCUUUUAUGCACAUAAUGUUCUGUGUUGUGCAAUAUUUUGAUGCCAAGAAGUCUGUGUCUGUGGUGCCUCAAUCAUGGUACAAUGACGGUUUUACUUUCUGGCCAAAUUACACAAGCGAUGAGAGGAUUAACAAAGCUGUGAAGUCCGCUGAAGUGCCAGGCCACAAAUGGUCGAAGCAUCCUGUCAGACUAUUGAAGACAUAUGGUGACUUCCUGUCAGCCUGGCAAGGAAUGAAACAGUCACUGACAUGUGACACAUCGGAGCUAGACACCGAUGAUGAAAAUGAGGAAGUUGGUCGUGGCAAAAGAACACCUAAACCUUUGCACCAUUAUGGUGAUACUGAAGACGACAGUGACAGAGAGCCUGCAUCUAGGAAAGCACCCACAUCAUCGAUUCAACAUCGGCCAUCUUCAGGACCCUUAUUAACGUCACGAUGCAACCAACCAGCUCCAGGGCCAUCCUACUUCGCCCAACCUCCACUACCACCCCCCCCCAGGGCCAACCUCCUGUUCUCCACCUCCACCACUCACCCCUCCAGGGCCAUCCUACUUCGCCCAACCUCAACUACCACCCCCCC